AACGAACGCUGGCGGCAUGCCUAACACAUGCAAGUCGAACGGGACCUUCGGGGCUAGUGGCGCACGGGUGCGUAACGCGUGGGAACCUGCCCUUAUGUACGGAAUACCACCUUGAAAGGGGGGCUAAUACCGGAUAACUUCUUCGGAUAAAAGAUUCAUCGCACUAGGAUGGGCCCGCGUUGGUUUAGCUAGUUGGUAGGGUAAGAGCCUACCAAGGCGACGAUCCAUAGCUGGUUUGAGAGGAUGAUCAGCCACACUGGGACUGAGACACGGCCCAGACUCCUACGGGAGGCAGCAGUGGGGAAUCUUGGACAAUGGGGGAAAUCCUGAUCUAGCAAUGCCGCGUGAGUGAUGAAGGCCUUAGGGUUGUAAAGCUCUUUAAGCCGGGACGAUAAUGACGGUACCGGAAGAAUAAGCACCGGCUAACUCCGUG
rnacentral:rRNA from 1 species